GGUCAAACCAUAGUAUAGUAGUCAGAUGAAGCAAGUGGAGAGCAGCAUAUAAAAGAAGCAAGGCGAGGAAAGGAGCACUGAAGAACUUGACCACUCCUCCACAAAGUCCAGAUCAUGUUCCAGAGCAGUCCCCACAGCCAGGAUCUUCAAGAUUAUAUCAGAUGUGUUGGUGAACCCCUCCCGCAUCUGAACUGGCUACAUAGAGGGCACAGCAUGAUCAGAGGUAUGUUUUGAGAUGAAAGAGGAUGCCAACAUCACCGCCUCACCAGCUCUUAAGAUAACAUUCGGGCCGACUGGGAGCCCAAGGCUGGUUAGGAGACACCACUAGAGACACUAUUAUGUAAUUGUGAUGAACAGAGAAUAUUAGGGUAGCACUGUGAUUCAUUAAUCAUAUGCUGUCUUCCCUGCUCCUCUGUUCUUACCUCUUUCCCUUUCUGUCUUUCACACCUCUCUCGCCAUCUCCUCUUUCUUCCUGUUUUUAUAAUGCACACCAGAUGUGCAUUGAAGUACAGAUUGC
rnacentral:lncRNA from 1 species